GGAGGAACAAUUGGAGGGCAAGUCUGGUGCCAGCAGCCGCGGUAAUUCCAGCUCCAAUAGGAUAUAUCAAAGUUGUUGCAGUUAAAAAGCUCGUAGUCGAGUUUUUGGGGGAUCUGACGGGAAUUAUUGGUGAUUUCAUUAAUUAUUCUCGUGUCCUUCACAUUGUGGAUUCAUUAUUUGUAUUUAAAUUAAUUUUAAAUAUAAAUACCACUCUUUCACUGAGAGCAAAUUGGAGUGCUCAAAGCAGGCUUUAUAGCUUUGAACAUAUUAGCUUGGAAUGACAAGAUAAGACUGAAUGUCUGUUUUGUUGGUUUAUGGAUAUUUAGUAAUGACUAAUAGAAACAGUUGCGGGGGUACUCGUACUGGAAAGUCAGAGGUGAAAUUCUUAGAUUUUUCCACGACGAACGACUGCGAAGGCAUUUACCAAGGAUGUUUUCAUUGAUCAAGAACGAAAGUGAUAGGAUCGAAGAUGAUUAGAUACCAUCGUAGUUAUCACUGUAAACGAUGCC
rnacentral:rRNA from 1 species